GCCAACUCUCCCGCCCCUUGGCUCUCCUUUCUUUCUUCCCUUUCUCUUCCUCUCCUUCCUUUCCUCUUCGUUCCUCUUUUCCUUUUUGGUGAUAAAAAUAGCUAGGAAGUUGCCUUUUCAAAAAAAGAAAAAAGAAAAAAGAAAAAAAAGUCCACUUCAGUUCUCCGGGGACUGGAUGGGCUUCCCACUGUAGUCGCCUGCCCAGACAGAAAUCUGUGAGGCCCUGCACCCGUUCUGUCUCCCUACUUCUGCCCUGGCCACAAUCCUAGAGACCCCCCCACCCCCUCACCCCCCACGGGAUAGCUUCUCACUGGUUUCCUGGAAUUUGCUGCAGACACAUUUAGACAUGUUUAGAGCUUCCGUCCUCUAGGCCUUCUUCCCUCCCACAGCCCCUCUUUAAAAGAAAAUGGACCUGGAAAUCAGGGUUUGGGUUACAGGGACAGCCUGGAGUUCUGGUGGUAAAGCAACCAAAGCUUGAACAAUAGCAGGUACAGCACAUCUGUGAGCUAUUUUUGGGUCUCUAGAGAGAAGGGGGAAAAAAACAACAAUCCUUAAGUAAUACCAGAAUUCUAUAUUUUUUGCCUUGACAGCUAAAGGGAAAAAAAAAUCGCACAAACCAGGGACACCGCCGAGGGUUGGCGUGGGAACGUUGGUUUAGUCAGUCUUGCUCAGGGCCAUUUAAACAAAAACAGGCACCUCUGUGGCAAUGCCAUUCGAAUGUGCUUGGUACUUCUGGGACGGGACCCAGGAAGGGGGGUCGAGAUUAAGCUGCUUAUCACAAGGAACAUAUGAAAAUUAGUGGAGACAGACCAGUCAGUCCUCUAUGCGGCCUAAGACGCUGCUGAGCUGGACAGGGAGUCCUCCGCACUUCUUGGUGCUCAGUUCUGAGGUACUUGAGGUCUUUGCAGCACAUAAAUCAGAGGAACUGUCGCAAGGGUGGAAGGGGGCAGAACCAACCAACUGUAGUAGGACUCAUUCCCAGGGGAUCCCAGUGACAGGCAAGGCAGAGCUUCUUAGCCUGGCCAGAGCACAUGAAAACCCUGGGAACCAAGAUGCCAGGGCUACGCAUGUGGGACCAGGACUGAAUGCUGAGCCCACACUCCUGGGAGCACCUAACCUCUUUCCCCCAAAACUGGGGUCCUGAGUCCAAUCAGGACAACAUCUGCAGCAAACUUAGAGAACAGCGAGUCGGAGAGCCCCUCCAGAGAGCAAUGAAGCAAAACAGAUGCUGUCUUGUACUGAGACCUCCUGUGCUCCUGCGCUCCUCCACGGCCCCGGAGCCUGGGAAGCUUCAAGUCUGCGGUCAGUGGGGACUAGGAGGGGUGGGAGUGGGGGCUGGAGAGAGAGCUUGUUGGGCUUUGUGGUACUGUAGGGGAUCACAGAGCCCAGGGAACCUGAACAGGUAUUCGAGAGUCGCAGGCAGCUACGGACAGGCCACAGUAGCUUUCCCUUACGUUGCUCCAUCCUUACAUCUGUUGGUCAGUGUGUCUGAGCCUCUCGGUGGGCUAGAGCUGUCUUCCCAGGUCUGGUGGUUACAGAGUUGAUGCCUGGGCCCAGAGGUCUCUUACUGAGUCUGAGGGAAUGAUCAGCAGACAACUGUUGUUGAAGGGCUUGAGAUCUGAGAGAGAGAGAGAGAGAGAGAGAGAGAGUAAAAAAGAAAAGAGUCGGGGUUGGGGAUUUAGCUCAGUGGUAGAGUGCUUGCCUAGCAAGCUCAAGGCCCUGGGUUCGGUCCCCAGCUCCAAAAAAAAAAAAAAAAAAAAAAAAAGAAAAGAAAAGAAAAGAAAAGAGAACAUCUCAGGUUUUAAUAAGAUCCAAAUGGAGGAAGUUUGGGAGCAGGAACAGGGCCUUAGAGUGUAGAGCUAGUGUUCUGUAAGUUCAGAGCCUAGAUUUUAAGUCUCUCCCUGCUGAGCAGGGUUUUGGAUACCGUAACCAAGAUAGAGACCCUUAUGGGUAGAGCCCCUAGAAGGAGGAAGACAGAAAACAGGUGUCUCCAGGGUGAAAGGGAGUCUGAGGAUUUAGGAUUGGGGUGGGGACGGGAGAGAUGGAGUACUGGGUGCCAUUUGGGGUAGUAGGCCCGAAAGAAGCACUGUGUGAAUGAAGAACCGAGCAGGUGAGGGUAGGGGGUGCCUGCAGUUCUCUGCUGUCCUGGAGCCCAGCUGUGCACCUAUGGGACGAUUCUCCAAGUCUGGAGGGACUGAGAGCAGUGAAUGCUUGAGGGGACAUGAGGCUGGUCAGGCCGGGCCCUAUGGUGUAACCCUCAAAGCCACUCUCACCUAGCUCUGCUUUGGUUCUCCCCACCAGAAUCCAGAUCCUGCAUCGUCCCUCAUCAUAGGGUGUUAUGAGUUGAGGUGCGUCCCCCAAAGGUAGGUUGAUGGGCUACCCAGGAAUCUUAUGUAGCUGUAUUUGCAGACGUAAUUGAUUAAAAUAAGGUCCUUACACACCAGAGUGUCCCUGCUCAGCUGGUGCCCGAGGAGAAGAGAAGGCUUUGUGGAGAGGGGUAGGGAGGAGUAAUCUAAAGGUACAAACAGAAGGAAGAAGCACACUGGAGACUGCAGGGUGCACUCUGUGGAGGGGUUGAGGCCCUGCCACACCUCCGCUGAGGCUCUUGGUCCAGCAAUAAUCCCAGCACUCGAGAUAGAGGCAAGGAUCAAGAAUCGGCUCUUUAUUCUCUAUUCUGUUAGAAAAAGGAAGGCCAGCCUCAGAAAUAAAGAACUGCAGGGGAGGAGCCCGUCUCAGUGAAGGAAUAAAUGAAUCAUGUCCUAGCCUCCAGAAUGGAGAGAGCAUACAUUUCCAUGGUUUUAGGUUUCCUGGUAGUUUGCCGUGCUGGAAGCAGAUACAGCAUGGUGUACUUUCGUGCUGACAAAGGUAGUUCUUCAGGUCAUAGCCUUGUCCAAGGCUCAUAGGUACGGGCUCAAUGGAGGUGAACUGGGACUUCCUAAGGCUGCCAGGUAGGUACCUGUGUCGUGCAAACCUGCAGCAUGGACUUUAGAUGAAAUAGGAUGAAAUGUCUUAGUGUCUAUAAAUCACCCAGCAAUGCCCCCAAGGCCUGGGUUUCCAAAGACAAGCGCUCUUGGAUCCCGGGCCCCAUGGCGUUCUGAAGACACACAGAAGGAACUAAGUGACAGAUUGUGUCUUUAGCUAUUGCACUGGUCUGGCCAACCAUAGCCAAGGAAACAACAAGAUAACCAGACAGAACUGGUUUGAGUCACAAGCAUCUUGAGGUGGCUUUAAAUGUGGGAAAGGUAGGGCCCUAGCCCUCAAGGCCUCUAUGCCUACCUCUCCUCUGUGAGAAAGCCACAGUAAAUUUGUGUUUACUGGUUACAUGUACACACACACACACACACACACACACACACACACACACACACACACACACGAAAUGGCUUUUCCACCCGUUAUAAAAAUUCAACAAGACAGGUUGAAAACCAGGUGCCCUGCUUAGGAUCCUCCAGGGAACUAAGGUAGUCCUUCCUCCUUCACACUGUGCAGUGUGGUGAGGUGGAGCAUCCUACUCCUCUAAGCGGGUGCCCUCCCUCCCAACAGCACAGCCUACUGGGCCUGUGAGUAAGGUUCACAUCAGUUACUUUGCAGGUCGGGGUGGGACUCACAGAGCCGCAGAAAUGCUGGCCCAGCUUGCCUCACACAGAGUAGACACUUCACCAUGGAUGGGAGAGCAGAUCUGGUAGGGCCCCCUGUGCCAGCACAGGGUAGUGUGUCCUCCUUCCUCCUGCCAUCCUGUCCCUGGUACUCCAUGGUCAUAGCCUUCCAGGAAGCUUAUCCCUUGCCACUGAGAGCCCUUGUUUUGAAGAGAAGCUUGGGUCCUGAGUGGUCUGGAACCACCAAGGACAUCCAAAUUUGAUGGAACGAAAUUUAAGCAAAAAUGAAUGUAUUCCAAAACAGACUCCAGCAUCUUGGGAACAUCCUUUGACUUUCAAUUUGAGGACAAGGUGGGUUAGGACUUAUGGUAAUUUUUGGUUUUGAUGUGUGUCUGAGCCCCAUGGUGUCGGGAGCCUGCUGUAACCAGUGGCUUUUGUGGCAAGGUGGACUGGAGGGCAUUCUAGCGUGUAUGGCCAUCUGUCCUUCCCUGGACUCUUGGUCUCUAUUUGAGCUUCUUGGGUAGCUAGACACCCUGGUAACAGGGAGAGGACUCCUGAGGGAGUUUGCCCACAGAACAGUAGGGAGAGGACUAGAAACUCAGGUCUGUAGAUCAUCUCUGUGAAGACCGGCUAACUCCCUAGUUCCCACUCCACUAACUAUGCAUUCACAUUUUAAAACCUGAGUAUAAGGACUGGAGAGAUGGCUCAGUAGUUAACAUUUCCUGCAUAACCAGGAGGAGUCCCCGUGAGGAUACAAUAUUGAUGGCCAGGGAGAGAACUCUAACCAGUCCAAUGACUCAUUGCAAAGAAAAUUUGCAAGUAAAGAUGUGUGGACAGAAGGAUAUCCUGUGGGACACAUUGUGACAUAGCACAGGUUCCACCACGAGAUGUUUUUCUGGGCUUUGCUUUUGUUUAUUUGUGUGUACGUAUGUGAGUGUGUGUUUGUGUAUUUUAUUUGGGGGGAGACGUUGCAAGAGCAAAGGGUGGAUAUGAGGGGAUGGGGAGACGAACAGGACUGUAGUGCAUGAUGUGAAAUCACAAAGAAUCAAUAAAAAAUAAAAAAAAAACCCAACUUCCUGCUUUUGCAGAGAGCACAGUUUCAGGCCCUAGCACUCCUAUGGAGGCUCACAACAGUUUCACGAGAUAUGAUGCCUUCUUCUGGCCUCCAUAGGUGUUAUAAGCAUGUGGAAUAUAUACAGUGCCUCAGGCUCCCCGCUGUGGAUCUGCUUUUAGAACUGUGUGUAACUGGUACAGCUGAACUCUCAGGGUACUGUCCUGAUGCAUCUGUGGUCAGUAUUUUUAGCAGACAGCUGAGAUGAGGACCUACAAUCUUCCCCUUCUCUACCUCUGUUCAGACUAUGUCUGAGAUGAACCAGGCUGGCCAGCACAAGGACCAGCAUGCGUACAGAACCUGUUUUCCACAGCCAUAGCUCAGUCAGGGUAUAUAGGAAAGGCCUUGGCCCAAAGUCUGUCACAACAGUACUGUGUCCACCACGCCCUUCCUCGCCAAGCUACUGAGGCAGUCUUCAGCCUGCCACAAUGGCUGCCUCAGGACCAGGAGCCCCCUCCCACCUGGCCGAGUUACACUCCCUCUUCAGUUGAGGACAUUUAUGUACCCACCCCUUGCCCACUUCCUCAAUCCAACCAGCUAUAGUUGUGGCUGUGGUUGGUGGCUCCUUAGGGAAACGGCCGCCCAGUGCUCUCCCACAUGUUGAACUGUGUCUGCUGCCAGCGUCCUAGGGCCAACAGGUGUUUCCGCACACCCAGGCGCUUGGGAGGACUCAGGGCCUCACCAUGGGGUCAGAGGUGCUGGGGGCCCCACAGCCAAACUGCAGGUUUUGUUUGCUCUUGGAAGAAGAAAGCUUCCUUUGGGGGUGUGGGGAGAGCCUGCCCUGGGGUGACUCUCUACCACCUGUUCCUGCUUGCCUGAGACCCUGAAGUCUUAGAGAGCACAGCUCAGAGCUUAAAACAGAGAGAAGGUUCCAGGGAACUGUGAUGGUAAAAGCAGGGAGGUAUGCAGAGAUUGGGUACGGAGAGAUCCAGCGGAUUGCUUGGGUGAAGGCUGGGGACUCUAUCCAGAUGUGGGCAGUGGUCAGCUGUGAAAGAGUGGGGUUCCACCAUGUGGGGUGUAAAGUUCAGAAUCUGUGGUGUCAUCUUAUCCAGAGGACAGCGAGUCCCAGGAUGCCCUGCUUCUGCAGCUGCAGUCACGCUUGCCUAGGGUACACAGCCAGCUCUGGGGGAGUCCCUUGGGUCCCUAACCUCCAGCCUCGCUUCUUCAUUCAUCCUAGGAAGGUGGUCACCAUUUUCAAGACCAUCUUGCUUCCUCCGUACUGUAGGAAAGAAGACUUUUCACAGGAUGCCAUGCUCAGCCAGGAAGGAAACCUGAGUGGAAAAGAGGGUGUUGGAGACUGUCCCCCACCUCACUACCAGGAGAAGUCUGGGUCCUAGGCCUGCUUGUUCCUCCAGGAGGCAGGUUUUGUGGGCGUUCCCUAAGUGUUCAUGUGAAAAGGGUCCAUACUUUCUUUUUCCCGUACUUUCCCGUGCAUGGGCCAAGAAUAUAAACUACAGUGUAUGUGUGCCUCCCAGGCAUGGCGGAGCACACAGUUAGUCCCGUCGUUUGGAGGCAGAGGCUGACAGACCUCUGAGUUCCAAGACAGCCUGGUCUACAGGGUGAGUUCCAGGAUAGCCAGGGCUACACAGAGAAACCGUAUCCCUCCCAAACAAAAUGAGACAACGUAGUUAAAAGUGUAAGCUGGAGCUGGGACUCCAUGGGUAGAGGGUAGGGUGAUGGCCUAGGAAACACAAUGGCCUCUCAGACGCUGCAUAAACUGUAAACUGACCAUGGUAACACAUGCCUGUACUCCCAGUCUCAGAGGGUAGAGGCAAGAAGAGCCGAAACUCAAGGUCACCCUUAGCUACAUAGUGAGUUCACAAUCAGCUUGAGACACGAGACUCUGUAUAAUAAAUUAAAAUAAAAUUAAAAAGUUUAGAUCAUUCCGGCCACGUUAUCUGGUCACACCUGCUUGGGAAACAUUGACUGAAUCUGAGCUGGACUUGGGGUAAUUCACAGAGUAAGGCAGGCACUUCACCGUUCGCUUCCUAGUUUACUGAACCUUUUUCCUGAUAGCCUCUGAGCCCUGGGUAGCCUCUCUCCCCAGUCCUACCUGCUUACCUGCAGUUUGCUAUUGGGAGGUCCUGUGAUAGGGAGUAGACAGACCUCCCUACUUCUAGGUAUUCCUCCUAUACCCCACUUCCUUAAGAUCACCAAACAAGAUGAUAGUCUGAGAUGUGUCGGUAUGGGGAACUCACGGUCCCCUAACUAGGCCCUGCUCAAGGCCCUGGUUCUGAGCACCAGUCCAAGAGUCAUACUGCUCAGGGGCCUGCCUAGGUGGCCUGGGAGGUAGAUUUGGGUGGGGAGCACUGAGGAUAGGCUGUUCCUUAGCUUCCUCGAGCUUAGGAGAAGCUUCCUAUAGGAGGAGCAGCCAAGCUGGACUGGGUUGCUGAAGAGGCCUGGGCCAGUAAGCCAGGGUCUGGAGUAGAGUCAGAGCCAGCUGCGUGGUGUCAGAGGUAGAUGUCGGAGGCUGCCUCUGCCAACCCUCUUGCCCAACAGUGCUGUGACCUUUUGUGAAUGGGAUGACAAUAAAUUCUAACAACCAACCCCAACCAUCCAGAUCCAAGCAGGCCUCUGGGACACAGUAAACAGGAAAGCCCACAGAGACUGGAGGUCCUGAGAGAAAGGAAGGAACAGGCCAGAGGCAUCACAGAACACGUGAAAUCAGCAAGAAACUGACUUCCCUAUACUGUGUCUACUACCUGGCUGAACCAGCUCUCAGGCCAGCACAACAGCUCUACCCAAGUGGAUGUCUCAGGAGCCCAGGGCCUGGGCUGCAGAACAGGACAGGCUCAAGAUCACAGACAGAGGCAGAGUCCCUAGCCAGCUCCCCUAGGCUCUGGGGCCUGGCCUCUCAGUACAGCUCCCCUCAACAUACCCAAGCAUGAUUUCCUCAGCAUGUGUUGGAACUCUAGCCAAUGCUGCCCCAGCCCCCAACUAGAGAUAUAUGGGGAAACUGAGGCCCAGUAGGAAAGGAAGGUCAAAGUCAUCCUGAGGUUGUCUCUGAUUUGAUGCCUGCUAUGGAUGAAAUAGCUCCAGGAGGGGCGGGACUGGGGUUCACUGAUGGAGCACUUGCCUAUUAGCGGACAAGGCCCUAAGUUCCAUCUCCAGCAGCAUCACUAAACAAACAAAAAAGCCCUGGGACAUUUUAAAGCAGACCCGGAAGAUCCGAAUCGUCCAUCAAAAAAUGUGAGCUUGUCGUGUGGGCUGAUAGCGUGAGAACUCCUUAGAAUUGGGCAAGUUGAGCAGUGUGGGGCCCGAGGAGACUCUGUUGGUCCUGAGCAAUCGAGGUCCCUGCUGCAGCAAGGGCCUGGCAGUUUUCUCUUUUCUCUCAGCUGGUUCCCAGAUCCACUCCAGCGACCAUGGGUAAUGAGAGCAUUAGAGUCCUGAUGGCUCUACCUCUGGGAGUUCCUCCUGAGGAAGCAUCGUGGGAGCCAGAAAGCUGGACACCGCGGGGACCCCUGGAAGUGUUAUUUAUAACCCCAGACCUGGAAGGGGACCAAAUGUGUGGAGUGGGGCGGCGCCAUCUGACUAAGCAGUGGGCUGCUGACAGUAACCAGUGCCGCCUGCAAAACCACGGAAAGUCCAACAGACAGCGUGGGAAAUGCUCACAGGGACGGACUUGGAAGAGAAGAGGCCAGGACUGAGGCAGACAGAAAGCUGAGCUCCGCAUUGCUCCAGCCAGGGAGAGCAAUGGAGUCUGCAUUCCAGCUUGUGCCUGAACACACAGGAGGGAGAUCACCACCCACCAGCCAUGAGGGUGGGAAGCUGCAGCCUUCUGCUCUAUUCGGAUUCCAGAUCUGUCUCCGGGUCACUGAGUGGGCUGGGGUGAGUAGGUGGCAGGGCAGAGGGCAGGGUCAUAACACCUGGACCAACCAAUCUCCAGAGCUUGGGCAGAGACAUCUCUAGGUCUUGCCCCAGCUCCUGGAGGAUGCAUAGCCAGAUGUGCUUUGGGGGGGGGGGUCAGAAAGCAAGGGGUGGCAUUCUGAACUGCUCUCACCAUGUCUCUCAGCCCUCCAGUCCUCAUUGUCUGUCUCUCCUGCUCCCUGUAUAUUAGCUGAGAACCUCUAUCAUCUAGGCACAAGCCUACCAGUCAAUUCCUGAGAAUAGAGAUGGGGUAUAGAUCCCAAAGGUGGGGUUGGAGCUGCCAGGAGUAUGACGGUAUCCCCAUAACCAUGGAAACUACACUAGGAAUGGGGAGGGUGGGGACAAGACCCUCGACACCUGGAGACCAGAUGGCUGACGGGACUACUGACCCAGCCCGGGGACUGACUAUACUCACGAACCACGGCCUUGGCCAGAUGCAGCAGGGCCUGGCAGCCCUGGAAGCCUGUCAUGAGCAACUCCAAGAGAGCGCAGCUAUCUCUACUAGCUUCCUCUUAGCCAAGUUGGACAGAGGACGGAUACUGCACCCCAAACAGCGGGGUCAGUCGCAGAGCUAGGCUCAGUGCCUGCUCUGGCCCCACACUGUGGACCUGAGCUGGGUUGGCACUCUCCUGGUCAGGGUGUUUUCGUGAAUAAGGGUGAUUAACCCUAGCUCACUUCACUGGUGGUCCCCAGGCCCUAGACUGUGGAAAUCAGCCACUUACUUUUCCUGAUGCAUUAUCAUCAGGAACAGUAACCUGUGAGGCUUGCUUUAAGGAUGGGAAACCUGGGGGUGGGGAGAUGGUUCAGUGGUUAAGAGCAUUGACUGCUUUUCCAGAGGUCCCGAGUUCAAUUCCCAGCAACCACAUGGUGGCUCACAACCAUCUAUAAUGGGAACCAAUACCUCUUCCAGUGCGUCUGAAGACAGCGACAGUGUACUCACACAUAUAAAAUAAAUAAAUCUUAAAAAGAAAAAGAAAGAAUUGGGAAACUGAAGCCAGGCAUAGUGGCACAAAGGAAGUAGAGGAGGCAGAAUUCAAGGCUAGCCUGGUCUACAUAGUGAGUUCAGGGACAGCCAGGCCUACAUAAUAAGACACUGCCUUGAAAAGAAAAUAAAAGAAUGGGGAAACUGAGUCACCAUAGAGACAAAGGCAGAGAUAAACCAGAGAUAAACUUUGACACAGCCCAGGGGGGUGGUUCUUAACCUGUGGGUUGUGACUCCUUUGAGGGUUAAACAAUCCUUUCACAAGGGUUGACUAAGACAAUCAGAAAACAUUGAUAUUUGCAUUAUGAUUCACAACAGUAACAAAGUUAUGGUUAUAGAGUCAGGACAAAAAUAAUUUUAUGCUUGGGGGAGGGGGUCACCACAUAUAAGGAACCACUGGCUCAGAGGUUCUGAGGAUACUGUGGGGUUCCUGCAGCUUUGACAGUCUGAGUCUCCCCCAGGCCCUCUGAGAUACACACUGUAGAACCUCCUGGUAUCCUGUGGGGGCCCAGCCCCUCCUAGAUCUGCCAUUCUGGUCUCUGCCUAAGCUGAGGAGCCGGGAAUAGGUGCGUCGUCUCUUGAGAGUCCCAGCGUUCUGGAGGCCAGCACAGAGCUUUGCUGGUGUGGGAGGCGAUAGACAGGAGCUUGGGGGUCAUCUGGGAAGCAGUUGUGCCAGGCUUUAGUACAUUCCAGCUUCUGGAAUGAUCUAGAACAAAGAGGAGACAACCAGGCUUCUGGGAAAGCAUGCCGUGGCCCAGUGGUGUCCGCCCAGAAUCAAUCACCCCUGUUCUCCAGACGCAAUUACUAGGCUCAGUGGGGCAGUUAUCUCCUCACCAUGCUGGGCAAACCUCCCUUGGGCUGCUGAGAUGCCCAGGCAGUGCUGUGGGGAGGGUUCCAGAGAGAAAGUCCCAUACCCCUACUCAGAGUCACAUUAGACAACCUGACAGGUGCUCAGUCCCUACCUGGAGGGUCAGCGGGGCCUCUCCAUCCCCCCCUCCCCCAUGGGGAAACUCUUGGGGACUUCAGUAAAGUCUCUGUCACCUCCUGGCCUUGGUCUUCUCACUGGAACAUCGGAGUGAUACUUCCUUCCCACAUCCCAGUGCAAGGCCAGCAGGGUAACAAGGGCACUACAGCAUGACCAUCCCAGCUCCCCACCCCCCAACACACACACACACACACACACACACACACACACACACACACACACAGACAGACAGACACACACACACACACACACACAGACAGACACACACACACACAGACAGACACACACACACACACAGACACACACACACACACACACGGACACACUCACACAGACACACACACACACACAGACAGACAGACACACACACACACACACAGACAGACACACACACACACACACACAGACAGACACACACACAGACAGACACACACACACACAGACACACACACACAGACAGACACACACACACACACACAGACAGACACACACACACACACACACACAGACACACACACACACACACACACAGACACACACACACACACACACAGACAGACACACACACACACAGACAGACAGACACACACACACACACACAGACAGACACACACACACAGACAGACAGACACACACACACACAGACAGACACACACACACACAGACACACAGACACACACACACACACACGAAGGCAGAGGACUGGAGAAGGAACAAGGAAGGAGACUAAGCUCCGGUUGCAGGUCCAGCGUGCACUGGGGUCAGGGCCAUGGGUUAUAUGGCCUUCAUAUGAUAUGUCCAGGGUAGAAAUCUGCUGAGACUCAUGGCUGCUGGACAUGAGGCAAGAGAGAGUGUGGGAUAUUGGGUGGUAACAAAAUGCUGUAUUUGAUGGCCUGCAUUAGCUGGCCUGGUGACAACGCUGGAUGUUCAAUGUUGGGCAAAGGCAGCCUCUGUGCUACAGGAAUUCUGUUCAUCACGUGUGUGUGUGUGUGUGUGUGUGUGUGUGUGUGUGUGUGUGUGUGUGUGUGUGUGUGUGAAGGCCACCCCAGCUCGUAGUUCAUGUGUCAGAAAGGGAGGCCUUAGGGGGAAAGUGAGUCAACAGCUCAGGUGGGGUAUCCUGCAGAGCACCUGUGUGGACAAGGGAACCUGACUCAGUUUCUCCUUCUGAAGCACACAAGUCUGUAGUGUAGGGAAGGGUCAGAUCCUGUUCUGGAGGUCAAAGGCCUGUGUUUCCCAGGGUAUCUUCAGAGGCAGGGACAACAGGGACAUUGGCCAAACGGGGCACAGUUUGUCUGAGAUUGAGGCAGGGGUCUGGUGGCUCCAGGAGAGGCCUGGCCCAGCAGUUUCUGCCUCUUCUUUUUUUUUUUUUUUUGGUUCUUUUUUUUCGGAGCUGGGGACCGAACCCAGAGCCUUGCGCUUCCUAGGUAAGCGCUUUACCACUGAGCUAAAUCCCCAGCCCAGUUUCUGCCUCUUCUGAUCCCUGUGGCCCUUACUCCAGAACCAGGGCGCCUUCCCUUCACUGUCUCCCAGUGGUUCCAGGGAACUGGAGCCAGGGCCACCCAGGGGAGAGAGAGGGGAGGCCUAACAGGGUCCUAGUUGAGCUGGGGCACUAUUAACACCCAAGUGCCUCCAUCAGCACCCAUGCCCUGAGGGCUGACAGCAUGCAUGGAAAGUACCAUGGUCUGUGGAUCUCUUUCUGGAGCCUAGGGACAGCUCUAGGGAGGGAGGCCCCCGAAACAAACACAGCACUGGCUUUGGGGAGUGGACACUGGCUUUUUCUUUAGGAUACUGCCUCUCUGAGUUCCCAGCCUGUGCAGGGGUCGAAAGCCUAGAGCGGCCUUUGAGAGCUCUGAGUAACAAGUACAGACCAGAUCCUGCUAGGAGGAGCCUUGGAUCCCAAAGAAUGGGAGGUAUCUGUGUGACCACGUUAUCUCCCUAGCCACACUUACUUACAGUCAUGUCGGCCCAGGCCAUCGCUGCUCUGCGUAUCUCUGUGACCUGUGACAGCAGGCAUCCUAUUGGCCAUCAGCUUCCACCUCCCGAUGCAUGGCCCAGAGGUAUCCAAGGCUCAUAGGCUACCUUGAAUGCCUGUUGGUAGGCACAGCUCUUUUCCAGCCCUUGCCGUCCCUCUCCCUGUCUUCUUCAACACUGUAACUAACCUCUGAGGCCCCGAAGCUCACCCUACUUAACGCUCUUUCCCAGGCUCCAUCCUCGGAAAGUCCCUACCACUUCGAUGCCUCGUGUUUCCUCCCCUACACGCAGAGCCUGCUGUCCCAACCCCAAGGAUCUCACCUAUGGCCUGCCCUUGGCCAUAGGCCCAUCCAGCCUGCUGCCUUUAGCCAGGCUCAGAGUUUACACCUCAGCCUUGACAUAUGGACAGUCACCAAACCCAUUUUAAAGAUGGGAAAACUUAGUGUGAGAGCAGAGACCAACUGGUCAAACAUCACACACUAGGAACAUGUGGCUGGGCAGGGUCUAGAAUCAGAACUCUUAUCCGCCAAAGAGUGCUCACAUUCUCUUGAUGCAGACAAGAAUAAACCCUCUGUCCAUCCCCUAGAGGAGACAGCUAGGCAAGCAUCACCCGACACAGAGAGGAGGAGAGCUACUACAGGCAUUCAGCCAAACACUGGUCCAGGCUGGUUCCUGUCAGUCAUCUGAGAGGACUUGGACACUAGACUGGGGAAGGUCAAAGCCUGGCCCCUUUUACCCUAGCUUCCGUGUCUUCUACAGAGCAACUGUUCCCAUGACAGAGUGAAGGCAUAGAGAGGGGUAGGCACUCCGAGCCUCAGCUCCUUACUGCCCCCACGUCUUCCCCUCUCCCCAAAUCUCUCUCCUACCUCAAGGCUCCUGUGACUUGCCUGUCCCCUAUCCUGUGAUCACCCUGUGCAGCUUCCAGACUCACAAGUGCUACCCGUCCAGGUCUUUCUUCUUGCAGCCCACGCCCACUGUUGCAAGCCUGGGGCCAAUGUCUGGCAACCUGGCUGCUCUCCUUUGGAACUGGCUCUGGGCCUCUCUGCCUGAAAUUUCAGGGCCACUGGCUGGCUCUUCUGAUUCAGGAGCAUAACAGUGCACUCCCAUACGCAAUGCCAUAAGUAAAGACAGAAGCUGUAAAUCCAUCCUGAAACUGUACCCUCAGGUAGGUCCAUAGGGUGAUGGUCUCAAUGUGCAGUCAGCCCUGUAAGAUCUGGGUUAACAAAGAGGUGGAGUACUAGGGUGAAGCAAGGUUGUGCCCCUGGGGUCAACCUUGAGCUUUGUUGCUUGUAGUCACCUUGGUCCCUGGGGUCUUGAUACCUGGUGCCUUCCUAUCAUCCUGUGGGACCACUAGGGGAAGGAGCAGCCUCUAGAGCUUCAGCCUGUCCACAGCUGGCCCACUAGAAGAGGGCAGUAAGACAGAACCCAUAACUCACAAGACUAUGACCAGAUACACAAGAACACUAUGUGCUCAUCUCCAGAGAGAAUGUUCUCUUCCUUCUCCUCAUCUCCCUCCACCCCUUACACCUUGGGCUGAAACUUGAUGUCCCUCAGGAGGGGGUCUCCUGUCCCUUUUACAGUUGCGAUCACCGAGGCAACAGAUGUUGGAGAGAUGCUAGGAGCUAGCUGCUCAGUGUGUUAGCUGGGCCACUGUGCUCAGUAGGCCUCAGCCUCUCCUUAGUGUGUGAACUUCCCCUUCUCUCCUGGCAGGCAUGAGUGAUGAGGAAAUUCAGAAGUUGGGAAGCUUAUACACUGCUGGACCAGCCAGUUCUGGGGUGGCCCCAUGGUGGGGGUCCAGGCAGUCUCAUUGGCUCUGGCAACAUUCAUGGGAAACUCAUGCCACAUACAGGGAGACACUAGGUGUGCAGGCACUCGGGGCACACAAUGCUCUCUGCCAGCCUGGCUAUGCAGACUCCACUUAGCCUGCUGCAUAGGACCAGGGGACUCUCCUCAGCAGGAGAGGGCCCAACAGCUACCAGUCUUUGCCCUGCUCUUUCCUUUCUCUGCGUCUGGCCCUGCACAGCAGGACACAUGAAGAUUGUCACUGCACCGUCUACAAGCCGGAGUUUGAGAAGACAAGGCUCCCUUGGUCAGCACUGAACUCUGCCUACCCAACACAGCAGUGCCUGAUAAAGGAGUGACAACCUCAUCCUUCCCGCCUCCCACUUGGUACCCAGAUCUCUGACCCAGGCAGAGAGCAGGAGGGAUGCAGCCACCUUCUCUGCUCCUGCAAGGGGUUCAAAAGAGAGAGGCUCACCUGCUCCACGUUCAGAGAAACUUCUCUCUGAAGAACAACCAAGGUGACAGGGUCCAGUGGCCCCUUCCUUGGGCAGGUCCUACAAGCACUGCACUGUGUCCUGUGACUGGUUCUGACUGCACCCUCUUUUCCCAGUGAUGGGAUGGAAAGCGCUUCCCUUCAUUUUGUGUCUGCCUGUAGAAUGUUCCAGAGUGGUCUGCACAGCCUUUGCAAGGUGCUUUCCUGUAAUGUACUGAUGUCAUGAUGCCUUCCCAGGAUGAGGUCAAAGGCUGUGCACAGGUAAUGCUGGGGCAAUCCCCCAAUCACUGCAGAGGCGCAAGCGGGACAACAGUGUGUGAGCUUCGGUGCCUCCCGCUGCUGCUGCUGCUGCUGCUGCUGCGGCCUUGGAAGCAGACCCUGCCAAUCUGAUAGUUAGCACAGCUUUCAUUUGCAUUUCUCUCAAAGUGUUGUGGGCCAGCUCUUCUCCUGAGGCCCAGCUGUUCACAACUCCGCCUUCCACACACCCUGACACUGGCCAUUGGUUUGAUGUAGCUCUUUAUUCUCCAUUUUGCUAAAGAGCAGACUUGGACUUUUAAAGAAAACUAUUCCAACACACGUGUGUGUGUGUGUGUGUGUGUGUGUGUGUGUGUGUGUGUGUGUGUGUGUGUAUGUGUGUGUGUGAAGGAUAAUUUGCAGGAGCUGUUCCUCUUUUUCUACCUCCUCAGCAAGCUCCAUAGGGGUGGAAGUGGAAAUUAGGGACCAAACUCAGGCUGUCAUUCUUGGCAGCAAGCACCAUUGGCUGUUGAGCCCUCUUGCUCUGUCUGGUUUUCUCAGAGGCUGUUGCUAUGCAGAACAGUCAGUCAUUCCAUGUUGCUGCUGUGUUGAAGUUAUGCUGUUCAUCAUAGCUGAGUUCAUCAAAACACUUUUCUGUAUUAGGUUUUUGUCCAUUUUUGUCAGGCCUAGGACAAGUUAACUGAAAAUGUCUUCCUUUUUUCCUGUCAUGUGCUUAUGUGUGUGUAUAUGUAUGUAUGUAUGUAUGUGCAUGUGUGUAUGUAUGUGUGUGUGUGUGAAGGAGUGUAUUUGUGAGUGUGUAUGAGUGAAUGAGUAUAUGCAUGAGUGUGUAUAUGUGUGUAUGUAUGUAUGUGUGUGUGAGUAUGUGCAUGUAUAUGUGUGUGUACAUGUGUGUAUGUGUAUAUAUGUGUGUGGGAGUGUGUGUAUGUAUAUGUGUGUGUAUGUGUGUGUAUGUGUAUGUGAGGUAUGUGUAUAUAUGUGUAUGUGUGUGUGAGUGUGUGAGUGUGUAUGUGCAUGUGUGUAUAUAUGCAGAUGAUGUUACUUUUCUGCUGGUGGAGGCCAGGACUUUUACUAGGUUAAUAGAGUGCUGACAAGCGCAAGGCCCUGGGUUCGGUCCCCAGCUCCGAAAAAAAAAAGAGUGCUGACAAGCAAGUACGAAGCUCUGUGCUGGGCUCUGAUGUUGUAGAAACAGCAUUGCUGCUGCAUUUGAGAGGUAGAGGCUCAAAAGUUCUAGGCCAUCCUUGACCAGAUAAAGUUUCAGGUUUAGCCAGGGUUACAUGAGAUCCUGUCUCCAGAAAAUUAAAAAUGCUUGUGGGAAAGUUAUGCAGGCUGGAGUGAGGAAUAACAGGAGACCUCAGUUAUAGGUGGAAAGAUGCUCGAGGCUACAGGGGUGGGGAGCUCAAGGGACAAAGGAGAAACAGACUGGCCUGGCUAAGGACCAGCUGCAGAGGUGAGGGACCCGUCCCCAUCAUUUGACCACUGGUGUCCCUGGGCACCACGCUAGGAGCCAAGUUAAGAUGGGAGCCAGUGCUGAAGAGCUGGAGAAUGUGAAGGCAGGGACCAUCAGAUGCUCUUCCCACUUCAGCACCAGCCCAGGUCCAGGCGAGCCUGCAGCAUGGCUGCUGGGUACCUAUCCUCUGCUGGAUACCGACAGGCCUGUAAUGAUCUUUACCUUGGUGCCUUGCCCAGUCAUGAAGCUAUUUGUAUAGAACCUACCCAGCGUCCAGCAGAGCAAAGCCUCUUGGAGAAGACGAUAUGGAGAAGACAGGUACUUUAUCUGGCCUCCUUCCAUCUAGAGGGAUCCCCUAUUUAAUCUGGGAUCUGAGAAACACCUGUUCCCUCUGUGAGCCAUUAGGGUAGGAGGGCUGUGGUCUGAGACUCUUUUCCUAACCCUAUUCAUUCUUUUUCCAGUUUUGUUUUAAUCAUUUAUUCGUUGCAUGCAUUUGGAUCAGAGGACAACUUUCAGGAGUCAGUUCUCACCUUCUGCCAUAUGGGCUCUAGACAUCAAACUCAAGUCAUCAGGCUUGGUGGCAAGGGCCCUUACCUGAAAAGCCAUAGUAUUCUUUCUGAGACAGGGUCUCAUGUAGCCCAAGCUAGAUCUGAACUCCAGAGAUGAUCUUGAGCUUCUGAUCCUGCUCUCUCCACCUCCUAAAUGCUAAGAUCACAACACCUUGUUUCUAAGCGCUAAGACCCCUGGUGGCCAUUGCUACGGCUUGUUUCUAAGUGCUAAGAUCACACCUUGCUUCUGUAGUAAGGGGUUUAGAACCUGGGGCUUUGUGCAUAUUACAUGAAUGCCUUAUCUCUGCCCUCACUCAGUCAUUUGUUCAUUUGACAUAUGUCUCCUGAUUCAUUUGGCACAGGAUGCAGACCAAGCCGGAGAAGCUUGCUCAGAGCCCUACAGGCUGACCAAGGCAGGAGAUGGCUCAACAUGAUAUCCUAAGGGGGUCCUAGCCUAGCAGUACACGGUCUAACCCUUAUGGUGUCCAGAACCAUCGGCUUUGUUGUUGGGAUGACCCCGGCAUGGACACAGGGUGAGCAGCACCAAAUUCACUGGGGACUAUGCAUAGAAGACAGGUCACGGGUUGGGGAUUUGGCUCAGUGGAAGAGCGCUUGCCUAGCAAGCGCAAGGCCCUGGGUUCGGUCCCCAGCUCCGAAAAAAAGAAAAAAGAAAAAAAAAAAGAAGAAGACAGGUCACCUAUGAGGCACAAGGAUGUGACUUGUUGGGUCCUCUCUGGUGGAGAGAGAAGUUAAUUUCUGCUGUCUCAAGACCCCCAGUCUGUGAUGCUCUUGACACAUAGCACAUGCAUUGUGGCAGUGGAUUUUCUAAGAAAAGGACUUGACUAGCUUGCUGGCCCAGAGAGAGAAACCUGCCUGGUUACCUGUGUGCUAGAGUUUGCCCAUUCUGUGACCAUCUGUGUCUGCUGUGUAUAAAUGUUUCCUGAGUUCAGGUGGCACCUGCCUGCCCCUCCCCCAAGCCUUCACAGGCUUUCUAUGCUUCUUUGGGCUUGGGGGGAUGCCUCUUCAGGCUGGCCAGCCAGCCUCUGCCCGGAUCUAUGGUGUCCCAUCUCACUAGAGCCUGCGAUAAGGGCCCAGCUCAAAGCUGCUUUGUUCAGCCAACAAAAGGACAUUUCUGCAGCGUCCUGGGAGCCAGCCACAGGCUGGACAUGCCAGGGAGGCCCCAGCCUGGUGGUGGCACCAGUUUGGGAAACCCUAGCCCAACCCUGGCUGGGACCUGGGGGUUGGGGACCAUGCCUGCCACAGGCUUCCCAGGCUCUUGGACCCACAGGAGGUGUCUUCUUUCUAUGGCCAUGCCGGGCUCGGCCCACAGCUUUUCCUACCCACAGCUCUGUUCUUGGCUUUGAGGACCAGAGCCUUCUAGGUUCAUGGUAAGGAGGCAGGCCACCCAUGAGGGACAAGGGUGUGACUUGUUGGGACCUCUCUGGUGGAGAGAGAGAGAGGGAAUUAAUUUCUGCUGUUUCAAGACACCGGGGCUGUGGUGCUCUGACACACAGCACAUGCACCGUGGCAGUGGAUUUUCCAAGGACAUAGGACAAAACUGGGUUACAGACACUGGUAAGAUGUCCUGGUGCCUUAAACCCUAUGGCAUGGCCAGUAGCCGCCCGGAGUGAUCCCCUAAGUCCCUUGGACUCCAUGCUAGUCAGGACCCAUAGCUGGGAGCUUCUUACACUAAGGCAGUGAACUCCUCAAAUGGACCGCAUACAAUAAGUCCUCAGCUCUGUUGUUCUGACAGCCAUUUCCAAAUCAGCUGUCCUGUCAGCUGGUCACAAGGAGCCAGUCUCCAGGGACAGCUAUUCCCACCCACCUGCGGCUCCUCUCCCCUCCUACAGUCUGGGAUCUGCAGGCCCCACCCCUACCCUACUUCCUCCCUCUCCCAAGCUGUCAGUUCACAAUAAGCAGCUCCCACGGGCUGUCACCCUUGUCCUGGGUUGUCUGGAGCCAGCCUUCCUUCCCCCUCAAGACUGCUUCCCAUAGCCAACCAACUGCUCACCACCCAGCCUCUGUGCCUCAGGUACUCUGGGUCCUUGUUGGGAGCCAAGACAGCCAUGUUCAGAAACAUGUACAGAGGAUGGAAAACUGCGCAGGCCCAGCAAGGCCCACUGUUGACGUCACCACACUCUGGGUGAGUAGGGCGAGACCUGCCCAGAUGCUAGUUAGAUUCCCAUCCCUGUCCCUGGUCUCUGCUCCUUCACCCACUUGAACCUGUAAAGGUUAGCCGCAGCAUCUGGUAGAAGCCACUUUCAUUGCCACAACCUAAAGCCUUUUGUAGAAUCCCUUGUAUGACUUUGAGCAAAGAUUCCAGUUUGCUGUCCUUGAUUCCCCUGGGACCACAGUGUGGAACUCUACAACCCUGUCCUCUUCAUUGAGUGGAUGGGGAAAUAGGGAACAGGAUCCCUGGGGGUAUUCCUGGAGAUAGUACUGUGUGGUAUACAGUUGUCUCCAUGGACCUUGAGUCCCUUUCCCCGUAUCUCCCUGCUCUUCUUGGUCAAAAGCACAUCUCUCUAUCCAUUCAUCCAUCUAUGUAGUAUGCAGCUAUAAACCUCACCAAGUUGGGUCUUGUGUAAGGCACAAGAAUGUCCUUGGGAGCACAACAUGCUGAUAGCCCCAGAAACAUAAACCCUUAUUGUGUAAUAGUUUCCUCCCAGAUGGUAAACAACUCCAAAAUAUCUUCAGGAAGUCCCUGAAACUGACAAGAUUCACUAGCCCCACACCCUUCCUGCCUUGUUUUUUGUUUGUUUGUUUGUUUAAGAGGUACUUUUCCUGGUUGGUAUGUCACUAGACCUUAAAGGUAGCCAUUUUGUCCGCUUUAUCAGAGUGUCUACUUUUAGCUUAACACUUCAGCCUUUUACUGAAGAUAAGAGGCGACACACUCCCUUCUGUAACUGCUUUCCCAUAUGAAAUUGGAAUGUCAUUGUCAGGGCCCAGGAAAGCUGGCCCUUAGUCAGUGGCCAGGAUGGGAUUCCGACAAUGGCACUUUCAUCAGAAGCAUUCAGAUCUCUAACCCAGCUGAAGAGACAGGGAGAAAUCACAUUGGCUGGACUGUUCACAUCAGCUUUCAGCAAGCCCAGAACUUUCCAGUUUUGUAGGACUACCCAGGGCUGACGUGGUGAAGAUUGCUUUCGGAGCAGUUUGUAAUCUACCGCCAAUUUCUGUAUAGUAUCUAGUAGCUGAGUGGAAAUCUGUUGGGACAGAUAUAGGCUAGGGACAGAAGUCAAAGUUAAGAAACUUAAAGGGAAAUCUGACAUUUGGAACUUUCAGGCCCAUGGUCCUGGUAGUUGGGAAGGUGAGGAGUUCCAAGAUGAGGGGGUGGGGUGGAGAUCCUGUCCUCAGGAAUAGGAGGUGGGGGAGACAGUGUGUUGAUUGACAGGAGUACCUGUCUGGAGUUCACUUGAACUGUGAAAGCAGGAUUCAAGUUUUAUGACUCCUGUGACUCCCUGAAGCUACAAAAAGAGAUAAAGGUUUUAAAUAUACUAGCAUUACCAACCAAUCAUUGUAAUCUAUCCUGAAAUCCACACUAUAGAAAAAGCAGCUAAUAGGUGCCUGCAAAACCGCUGGGGUUCUCAACUCUUGCUGUGAAUCGCAGCAAAGGUGAAGGCUUUAGGUUAAUUAGAGAAAGCUCUUUUCUCUGUCUGCGUGGUUAGAGAAGUAGAUUGGACAGAGAUGUUUUAGCCUGAUGAGAAACGUCUUCACGUUUAUACUUAGAAGACGCCCAGAAAACAUUUAAAAUCUUUCACUUCUGGCAAUAAUAGCAGAGAGUGCUUUUCGGAGUUUAUUUCCAGCAUCCCAGAACUUCAUUGACUGAUGUUUAAACUGUGAACUUUCGAAAUCUCAGUAUAAUAAUAUCAUAGAGGGGAAAAGAAUUCUGAAACAUUGCUCGUUUAAAAUUAUUUUUAUAUCUUUCGGCCUCGAAUUUUAUUUUAUGUAUUUUAUAUAUAUUAUAUAUAUUACGUAUUUAUGUACUUUAUUUUCUUGGACCCUCAUACUUUAUUUAGCCUUUCAUAUCCUGGAUGUUUAUAACUUGUAUUAUUUUUGGAUCAUUAUAAUGUCUAUAAGUCUUGAAAAUUUUAAAUCUAAUUAUUGGGGUUGGGGAUUUAGCUCAGCGGUAGAGCACUUGCCUAGAGAGCACAAGGCCCUGGGUUCGGUCCCCAACUCUGAAGAAAAAAGAAAAAAAAAUCUAAUUAUUUACCAUUAGAAAACUAACUGGGCUGGAGAGAUGGCUCAGUGGUUGGGAGCACUGGCUGCUCUUCCAGAGGUCCUGAGUUCACUUCCUAGCACUCACGUGGCAGCCAACAACUGUCUGUAACUCAAGUUCCAGUGGAUCUGACUCCCUUACAUGUAGCCCAAACACCAAAUAUUCAUAAAGAUAAAAAGAAUCUAAAGUAAGAAAGAGAACCAACCAAACGUUACCACCAAAGGCAAUGCGGAUGGCCAUGGUCGUGAUGUCACUAGAAGCCGUCUGGGUCCAUGCUCCAUGCUCCUGCUGACCACGAAGGGCAAAGGAGCCACUUUUGCAGUGGUGUCGAUGACCGCACACUCACAGUUGAGAAGGAGGGACACAGAAGGCCUUUGUGACAACCCCUACCUCCUACCGCACACUCACAGUUGAGAAGGAGGGACACAGAAGGCCUUUGUGACAACCCCUACCUCCUACGCCCACGUAAUCCCCCCAAAAGUAACAGCCUGGAGAGGAAGCCGCCCAAGAGAAGUCUUUAAAAAUGAGAUGAGGAUGCUGAAGUGUAGCUCUCCACCACCGAUGGCCUCGGCUGGCGUGCGGGUGAGGAAGGACUUUCCGUAAGGGACUGGCCACGGCUAUUUUGACCAUGCUCCACGAGCAUGUGGAUAACACACAUUGAACUUUCCUUUUUUUUUUUCUUCUUUUUUGCAGGGGAGAAGUCACGAGGGUGGGUGGCAGACCUAGAGAAGUGGGAAGUGGUUGUGAUCCGGGUGCAUGAUGUGAAAAUUGCUAAUAAUCAAUAAAAAUAUUACAUCGUAGAAGAAGGAGGGAGAAGAGGAAAGGAAAGAAAAGAAAGCUAAGCUAGCUUCCUGGAAGGUUUAGACCAGGACACUUGGAAAAAACACUUUCAACCCGUUGAGCUGCCUGCAGACUGCACAGUUGCUCCAGGUUCCCAGCCCUGUGAGCUGUCACCCACGCUGGGUGGGCUUGGGUGAUGUAGGUCUUUGAAUCACUUCUGCUCCUGUAAGUAAACCAAAUAAAACUCAUUGGUUCGCCAAGUUGCCCUUUGA